GUAGGGUGCAAGCGUUAAUCGGAAUUACUGGGCGUAAAGCGUGCGCAGGCGGUCCGCUAAGACAGAUGUGAAAUCCCCGGGGCUUAACCUGGGAACUGCAUUUGUGACUGGCGGGCUAGAGUAUGGCAGAGGGGGGUAGAAUUCCACGUGUAGCAGUGAAAUGCGUAGAGAUGUGGAGGAAUACCGAUGGCGAAGGCAGCCCCCUGGGCCAAUACUGACGCUCAUGCACGAAAGCGGGGGAGCAAACAGGAUUAGAUACCCUGGUAGUCCACGCCCUAAACGAUGUCAACUAGUUGUCGGGUCUUCAUUGACUUGGUAACGUAGCUAACGCGUGAAGUUGACCGCCUGGGGAGUACGGUCGCAAGAUUA
rnacentral:rRNA from 1 species